UAACACGUGAGCAAUCUGCCCUUGACUCUGGGAUAACUGCGGGAAACUGUAGCUAAUACCGGAUACGACCCUUGGAGGCAUCUCUGGGGGUGGAAAGAAUUUCGGUCAAGGAUGAGCUCGCGGCCUAUCAGCUAGUUGGUGAGGUAAUGGCUCACCAAGGCGACGACGGGUAGCCGGCCUGAGAGGGUGACCGGCCACACUGGAACUGAGACACGGUCCAGACUCC
rnacentral:rRNA from 1 species